rnacentral:ncRNA from 2 species
GCACAACACUAGGGGUACCGCCAAUGAGCGGUUGAGAUGAAUCUGUUCGAUUUGGUCCCUUGGAACCUGUAAGACAAUACUUGCGUAGGGAAAGUGAGAAUCCGAGAGG